GGCUGCGUCGGGCAGCGAUGAUGUCUCCAGAAAAAACUUGCAGCAAUAAACAGGAUACUCACAUUGUGCAGCACACAGGACAGGGUCUUCAACAGAGCUCGACUUGUAACUGUGUUCUGGCCCGCGUCUCUCUUGCCGUUCUCUGAAACCCCUGCUUUGAGGGCACAUGGACGUGAGCCCCACAGGCAGCAUCGGUCACCGAGACUGUAACUCGUCUGCUGAGUACCUCAGUGCCGCAGGAAAGGAAAGGAGUGGGACCAGUGAAGCUAAGCCACCUGAGGACUGAGUAACUGACCAUGUUUAUCUUCCAUUGAGACUUUCAAUGUUCUCGCUCCAAACAUAGGCAAGGAAACAUUUACCAGAGAGACAGAACAAACUUGGGGAAAGCAAAGUUGUAAAGAAAUGCAGAAAAGGAAUGAACAGAGAGGGACAAUACCAUUCAGUUCCAUGAAGGCAGCCAGCUCCUUCCUCACCAGGAGUGAAGGAAGCAGCCCCUUAGCUGCAGAAUCUGACUCCUGUUGCUUCUCCUAGCUGGGAAUAUUAACAGUCAUCAUUAACUCACCUCACCGGGGGAAUUCAGCAGCCAUGCUUGUCAGGUUUUUCCUGGAUCUCCAACACCAUCAUUUACGUAGUGUUUAGAUUUUACUAAGGAACUUUUAGCUUCAUGGGUGGGUUUGGUUCUGUUGCUAUUGUGUCAGUGAAUGUUACAGACGCUAAAUUUUUCAAGUUGGGAAGCAAAACACACAGUACCAAAUCCUGUUUUUUCUUCCUGACUUAUACUUUUAUUUAUGGAGUAAGUGGACAAUGCCACACUCCUGUGCAAGUCACAAACCUCCCCAGUCUCAGAUGAACUCACAGUUAGACUGCUGAUUCCAUGGGGCCUAAGCAUCUUUCUUUUGACUUGAAAACUCACCAGCUCCACAAACCCCCAGUCUUCCCAUAACCAUUGCAGGCAGCUCUUAGAAAAUUUGCCUAGAAAAAGACUGGUCAUUUUGGAAAAAAAAAAAAAGUGCAUUAGCACGACACAACGGUUAUUUUCUCCUCAUGCUGCAUUUUCUCCUCAAACCCUAGUACAGGGUUGUGUUGUUCUCCCUGGGGCCCUGGAGCCAAUGCAGGUAAAUGCUCUAUGGCAGCACUUUCAGGUUUCAUCAAUAAUUCUAUUGACAGUUCUCUCCUCUGUGGCUUUGUUUAAGGUUCAUAAACAGCAACAGCACACAAGUACAUCCACUUUCAAAGGGAGGCGUUCUGCUUUUAGAAACAUCAUGGGAACAUAAAGGGACAGGAAGACAUGAGGAUAAAGGCAGAGAGGGAAAUUCAGAGCUGUAAGGAACUCAUCCCAUGAGGAGUAGAGAGGACAAUCACAUUUGCCUCCAAAAUUCACCAGAAACAGUUCCCGCCACUCUCUGUGAGGUGCCCUGCCCACUUUGAAGGGCUGAUACUCUUGGGCACAGCCGGUUGCCAGCGGGCAAACCCCCAAGUUUGUGAUUCAGAUCCUUACACAGCCUGUGAAAGGAGACUGAAACCAUCAGAUAAGGGCAUAGUUAGGAGCAUACGUCAGCUUACGAGUAGCAGCUCUAAAUAAAGUGGAGGCAAAGCAUUCUUAUUUCCACCUGCCUUGGUCCAGGUAAUACUUAUUGCCCAGCUGGUUUUCUUCAUGAAAGACUCCAUGAAAAAUUGUAGUUUUCAUAAGGCAGAGACCUGGAGGAUCAGAGCUGCAAUUCAAAAAGUAAGUGCAUCAUAUGUGUAGAGAUACUCCAUGUAAACAGCUUUGCUACCGGUCUUAGCUGUUGUCUGCAUCUUUCAGGGGUAACAGCAAAUUACUGAUUAUUUUUGAAGUUUCUGUUCAUUAUCACUAUGAACUGCAUUAUUGUGGACCUGGCAUCACCAUCCUGAAAUAGGCUUGAGCUCUAGUGGGCAUGGUACAAGCACAGGACAAAAACACAGUCCUAAUUCCCAAAUUUUACUGAUAACUUCCAGCCACAAGAUACUGUCUGGGCAGCCAUAUCUGCAGAGGAUUAGUGAGAUAAUACUAGUUGAUCUGAUGCUGCUAGCCCUUCCUUUCUGAGGCAAAACACUGGAACAGGCUGCCCAAGGAAGUGGUGGAGACACUGUCCCUGAAGGUACUUAAAAAGCCUGUAGAAGUGGCACGAAAUUAUUUCUAUUUAUGCCUCCAUUGCCUUGACCUUUACCAACAAAGUCUCCCAGCCCUUUGUGCCUCAAGGUGAAAAAACCUGUAAACAGGAGAAAAGGACCAAGUCAUGGAUCGUUUCUUGAGGAGUCAUAGCCCAAUCAAGUCUCAGGAAUCAGUGGGGAUGAAUCUGAGAGUACUCAAAGAACUGGAUAUCAUCACUGGAAGGCCACUUUUUAUGUUUGAAAGGCUAUCAAAAUUAGGAGUAGUACCUAAUGGCUUGGAAAAGGCUAAAUGUUGCACCUGUCUUCAAAAACAGCAAGGACUACCCAAGCUGCUUCACUUCAGGAAAAUAACAAAAGCAAGUUCUCUUGGAAGCUAUUUCUGGGCACAUAGAGGAGAAAAAUGUGACUGGAAAGACCCAGCAUGGAUUUACCAAGGAUAAUCAUUGUGGAAUUCCUAUCACUGUUAGUUUUCAAGAUCUAACUGCAGAAGGCACUAAGCAGUCGUGUCAUAGUUUAGGUUUUGCCCUUCUGUAACCAGAAGGUUGGAGUAUAAACCUAUUGAGGUUCCCUCCAACUUGAAUCCCUUUCUGGUUCUAAACAAAUACUAAUUUUGAAGCAAAGUGAAGAAAACCUUAACUUUCAGAAGAUUUUCAGAGACUUUGUGUAAAUGCCUAUCACCUGACUUAGUAACAGGCGUGUUACAUGGGUAAGUUUUAGAGACACUAUGGUCUUAUUGUUAUUUUUAAAAUGUCUGGUUUUAUCAAUACCCCAUUAAACUGAAAUUGGAAGGAGAUACUGUCACCUGUUUUGAUUGAAUUUAAAAAAAAUAAUUUUUUAUCAAAAUGAGAGUGUGUUCAUCUCAUGAAUUAAAUAAAGCCUGUUUUGUUCAGACUUCUGAAAAAUCCCUGAAUAUAAGGGUGAUUUGGUAAAUAGUAAUUUUUUGUUACUCUAAUUAUUUCUUUAGAAUGUAUUAAGCAUUAAGAAAAAAAAAAAAACAACCCAAAACCACUCUUUUACCUUACUUUUUUUUUAAUUACAGAAGAAUUCCUGACUUUGUCAUUCGUUGGAUUUGAUUUUUUUGGACAAAAGACAUAUCUAAAAUGUAUCUCUUCCAGUCUUUCUGUACAAAUCAAAGAA